AUUGAACGCUGGCGGCAGGCCUAACACAUGCAAGUCGAACGAGUGGCGGACGUGUUAGUAAUGGCUGGGAAACUGCCUGAUGGAGGGGGAUAACUCCUGGAAACGGUAGCUAAUACCGCAUACCAUCAGAUGUGCCCAGAUGGGAUUAGCUAGUUGGUGGGGUAACGGCUCACCAAGGCGACGAUCCCUAGCUGGUCUGAGAGGAUGACCAGCCACCCCGAGACUGAGACACAGCCCAGACUCCGACGGGAGGGAGCAGUGGGGAAUAUUGCACAAUGGACGCAAGCCGGAUGCAGCCAUGCCGGGUGUAUGAAGAAGGCCUUCGGGUUGUAAAGUACUUUCAGCGGGCAGGCGUUACCCUCAGAAGAAGCACCGGCUAACUCCGUGCCAGCAGCCGCGGUAAUAC
rnacentral:rRNA from 1 species